GAUGAAGAACGUAGCGAAAUGCGAUAAGUAAUGUGAAUUGCAGAAUUCAGUGAAUCAUCGAAUCUUUGAACGCACAUUGCGCCCGCCAGUAUUCUGGCGGGCAUGCCUGUUCGAGCGUCAUUUCAACCAUCAAGCCCCCGGCUUGUGUUGGGGACCUGCGGCUGCCGCAGGCCCUGAAAACCAGUGGCGGGCUCGCUAGUCACUCCGAGCGUAGUAGUUACAUCUCGCUUAGGGCGUGCUGCGGGUUCCGGCCGUUAAAAGCCUUAUUUACCCAAGGUUGACCUCGGAUCAGGUAGGAAGACCCGCUGAACUUAAGCAUAUCAAUAAGCGGAGGA
rnacentral:misc_RNA from 1 species